GCUUUCGGCUCAACCGAAGAAGUGCAUCGGAAACUGGGAAACUUGAGUGCAGAAGAGGACAGUGGAACUCCAUGUGUAGCGUGAAAUGCGUAGAUAUAUGGAAGAACACCAGUGGCGAAGGCGGCUGUCUGGUCUGUAACUGACGCUGAGGCUCGAAAGUAUGGGUAGCAAACAGGAUUAGAUACCUGGUAGUCCAUACCGUAAACGAUGAAUGCUAAGUGUUGGAGGGUUUCCCCCUUCAGUGCUGCAGCUAACGCAUUAAGCAUUCCGCCUGGGGAGUACGGCCGCAAGGCUGAAACUCAAAGGAAUUGACGGGGGCCCGCACAAGCGGUGGAGCAUGUGGUUUAAUUCGAAGCUACGCGAAGAACCUUACCAGGUCUUGACAUACUAUGCAAAUCUAAGAGAUUAGACGUUCCCUUCGGGGACAUGGAUACAGGUGGUGCAUGGUUGUCGUCAGCUCGUGUCGUGAGAUGUUGGGUUAAGUCCCGCAACGAGCGCAACCCUUAUUAUCAGUUGCCAGCAUUAAGUUGGGCACUCUGGUGAGACUGCCGGUGACAAACCGGAGGAAGGUGGGGAUGACGUCAAAUCAUCAUGCCCCUUAUGACCUGGGCUACACACGUGCUACAAUGGAUGGUACAACGAGUUGCGAACUCGCGAGAGUAAGCUAAUCUCUUAAAGCCAUUCUCAGUUCGGAUUGUAGGCUGCAACUCGCCUACAUGAAGUCGGAAUCGCUAGUAAUCGCGGAUCAGCAUGCCGCGGUGAAUACGUUCCCGGGCCUUGUACACACCGCCCGUCACACCAUGAGAGUUUGUAACACCCAAAGUCGGUGGGGUAACCUUUAGGAACCAGCCGCCUAAGGUGGGACAGAUGAUUAGGGUGAAGUCGUAACAAGGUAACCA
rnacentral:rRNA from 1 species